UUACUUAUACUUAGUAAUUGCUAAUAAAAUUUUGACCAACUUUAAAAGCAAUGCUCAGCUCUAACCAUCCUCUUUGGUAAGCCUUACACUUCACGUGAGCUCCCACCUUUGGUGAGUUCAUGCACAUUAUUCCCCACAACUUGUUGAGCGAUGAACGUAUGUGAGCUCACUCUUGCUGUCUCACACCCCCCCCCCACAGGUCAAGAACAGGUACCACAUGAUGAGGCGCAUGGAGGAUGUUGUGACGAGUUCGUGAGAGAUCUAGGCCGUCGUCUCCCAGUCAACUUUGGGUUGCUGGACCGUUGUCUCCUUAUAAUGUAAUUAUUUAUUUUGUAUAGAACUCCUAUUAUAUAGUAAAGUUGUGACAUUCGAUCCUGUGCCAUGAUUCAUCAUAUGUGUGAGACUUGGUCCCAGCACACCUGGUGAUUAUGUUCGCGCCCGGGCUUUGGACCCCUAAAAUCCGGGUGUGACAGAAGUGGUAUCAGAGGAAUGUUGACUGUAGGACGAAACCUAGAUAGAACUGGACAACUCUUAUUUACUUACCUCUGCUACUCUGAUUCUUUUCUAAACUUAUCUUAAUCUUUUUUCAUCUAAUUUCGCUUACUCUGAUUGUUCUUAUCUUUUCUUUCUAAAGACAAAUGUGGAUUUCACACUUUGAAAUCCUGUACCUAAAGUGACCUUUAGGAAUAGGAGACCUACUCUUAGGAACAAAAACAAAACUAUUUUUAUAGAUAUCUAAGAACUUGAAUGUUUGUUCUUAUGAUACUUGUUUGAUUUGGAUCUUUGAUUGAGUGUGAUGAGUUGUGGAGUAAUAUCCACAAUUACAUCUGCAUAUACAUAUAAAAAAAUGCUCAUCAAAAUAACUAGACAAACUAGAUUAUCUCUCAUUAAAGUAUCUAGUCUAACAAUACCCAUCUCAUCUUAAAAGAUUCUAUCCAUCUUAUCUCAAAAGAUUCUAUCUUAUCCUUAUGGAUUCAUCUUGCCCUAAUAAGCAUAUCUAUCCCACACUAGUGUAACCACCAUGAUCUAAUCCAAAGUAAUUAGAUAUUAUCUAGUCUAAUACGGUGAUACUGAUCUAAUCUAGAUCCCAGCUAAUCUAAUAUGAUCAAUCUAAAGUGAGUUAUGUAAUAGAUUAGUUAGUACUAGUGAAAUAGAUUAGACCAUACUCCUAACCCACUUAAGCCUAAAUUGGUGACUUAGAUCAACUCGACCAACUCGACCAUACCAAAAAAAAACUAACCUACAUCAUAGGUUGCCUAGUCCAUCUAUCCCAAAAAGCAAAGUAAAACUAUGUGUAAACCUACCUACCCCGUGUACCCUGACUAUCCUAAUUAUAUAUCCUUAGCCACAUGUCCUUAACUCGGAUGGCAACUCCAGAAUUGAGGGCUAAAGAAGACCAACCACGUCAAGGGAGGAAAAGCAUCAACUCAAGUCUUCAAAGAUCAAGUUGGAUCGCUAGAUGAAACAAGAUCCACUGUACAUGGAGUCUCUUAUUACCAUAAUCCUGGUUAUCCCAACCUAUCCAUUCAUCAACCCACAUAAUAAGUAUCUAGAUAUCUAUACUCUCCUAAUCACCCAUUAAGGAUUUUUAUACAAAGUGAACAUACAUAUAUAUACCCAUGCUUCCAUAACCACUUUCUAAAUAACAUGAAACUUCGUAUUCAUAAACUAAUAAGAAGUUAAAGGCCAAACUAUAAAUAAAGCUUAUUUACAUCCCUGUCCUUACAAAUCUCGAGGACGAGAUUUCUGUUAAGGGGGGUAGGAUUUGUAAACCCUAAAAAUAAGUUAUGAGUUCAUUUAUUUCUUCUGUGUCUUUUAUAGGAAGUAAUACUAAGGAAUUGAGUAAACAUAAGAGUAAAUAAAUAUAAUAUAUAUAUAUAUAUCUUCCACUCAAAGUAAGUAAGAAGCAAAUAUUCAUUUUUGAAUUGAUGACCACUAAUCAUAUUUUUCCUAAAACAAACAAUAAGUAAACUUAUCUUUAUUAUAUGAUUUGGAACGUUUACUUAAAGAGAAGUAAUAAUAAGUAAAUAAGUAAACAAAUAUAUUUUGUAUUUGCAUGCUAGAAUUUUUAUUUUGAUUGUGCAUUUUUGAAUCUGAAAUUUGAAUUUAGAUUUGGAAUUUCGGUUUGAAUUAAGAAUCUUAAAACAAAAAUAAAAAAAAGAAAAGAAAAAGACCCUUCCUUGCGCUUGGGCCGGAAUCAAACCUGUCCAACCCAGCUAGCGCGCUAGCCCCCCUGGCUCGGCCCAAUCCACUCUCUCCCCCUGAUCUUUUACCGUGUCACACUUAUGCGUGGACCACCUAGUCAGGGCUCUCUACGCGCGCGCUCGGUGCCACUUUCUGGUGGGCCCGUCUGGCCAGUUUCUCCUUCUUCACCCGAUCAGACUCCAUAACAAGCUGAAGCGAAGGUCGCGGUCUCCGCUGUGAUUGAUGUGCGCGCGUUUCGGGCGGUUAGGUACGAAGUUGGGCUUCUGUAUCGGACUCCGCCUCUGGGCUAUAAAACUCUGACCCCUGGCGAACUCCUCGGCCAUCUACACCAAGCAGAGAGAGAGAGAGCAGCGUGAACCCAACCUCUUCGCCGCCCAAACAGCUCUGCAGGCCCUCCUUCCUAUCGCGCUCGACCGGGACUCUGGCGCGCCUUCGCCCUGGCCGCUUCUUUCCAUUGCCCAGCGGCUACUUGGGUGCACGCCCGUACUGUCUGCUACGUCGGCUUGAGCUCUCUGGGCGCAUGCACAUCGCCCAGUGCGUCGUGAACGGGAUGAUUGGCGCCGGGUGCAAGAACCAUCUGCCGGUGUUGCGUUGCGCCAUCGCAGAUUCGCCGUGUUGCGUGGCCUCGGCCUGAGCGCUGUCGGGAGGAAGAAUUGCCGCCACCGCCGUACCUUGGCUUCAGCAUCGAUCUAUGCCUGGAGGUUGCCUGCACAACAGACACUGGUAAGAGCCCUCGUAUCUGUCUAGCCUUCAUCUUCCUCGUGUGUAGCUCGACGAGAAGCAUUGUUUGCGGUCCCCUGCUCGGGUCUGGGGGGGGGCUGCGGCCAUGGCGUCGCCGGGUACGGUCUGCGGCAUGGAGAGGUGGGAAGAAGAACCCUGUGAACCAUCGGAUCCGAUAUGGAGGGUGGAGAUUAGAUGGGCGAUAACGGUUCGAUCAUGGCGUGCGUGGAUCGCUGGAUCGUGAGCCGACGGCUAUGAUCGGAUCCUUAGUGUUUAAAAUAGGCACCGUUAGAUCUUGAUCCAACGCGCGCGAUCUGUUACCAACUCAAGCUCUUUUGGUUGCCGUCCAGAUCUAAUCCUACGGCCGAAAACCCUAGAUACCUCUUCAGCCGACAACUUUACAAAAGAGCCCUUAAACUUUAUCGAAAUCAACCCGCCAUCCUUAUGCGGGAAUCUCGAGUCUUGGGGAGAUUUGCGCGUUAGCCCCUGCAGUUUUUAAUAAUUGUGCGCCCAGUCCAGAGAGUUGGAAUAUCAGAGAAAAUAGAUUAGAAAUGGAUUUUUAGUGAAAAAAAUAAAUACUAGAACUUGUACUAAUCAUAGAAAAUUCAUAUUGAGUUCAAAUGAGUUCAUUUAAGUUUCUAUAAUUUUAUAAUAUUAUUGUUUAUCAAAUAGUGCCACUGAUUUGACAUGAAAGCCACUUUAAAAUUUAUUUCCUAAUUAAUCUUAUAUCAAAUACAUAAAACCUUAAGAAAAUCAUAACUUGUACACUUUAAAUCCAAUGUGACCCGUUCGAAUUGUGUUGGACUCGUACUAAUAUUACCUACACCAUAGUAACAUCAUUUUACCAUGUAACAUGCUAUCAAAAACAAUUAAUUAGUUUAUCCAACCUAUGUUUAUUGGAUUACCAUAUUUAAUGUGAGUUAAUCUAGGAUUUUAAUUUGGACCAUCUACUGGUAUAUGAUUCUGUGGUAACUUAGAUUGAAGGUUAAGUUAGUUAUAUCUUUCUCACAUAAUUGAUUUUAAUCAUCAUAAUAUAUAGUUUAUUGAUUAAUCACUUAGAACCUAGUAAAACCAUAACUUCUUAGCCAUAACUCCGAUUAUAGUGAUUCUCGAGUCCACGAUCUCAUAUCAACGCAUAGAUUAUUAUUAUGCAGUUUGAUCUUAUGUUUGAUGUGAUGUUCAUUUUGCCUAUACCAUGUUUGUCUGUAUUGCUACGUUUAGCAGUGAGGACACGUGUCAUCUGAAGAGCAAGUUGGUACCUGGAAUCUCAAGUGCCAGGCAAGUUGUGCCCUUGAUCACUUCUUUUACCCACUCAUGUUCUAAUUAAUCAUAAUGAUCUGCAUAGGUUAAUUUUGAUGGGACCCAAUAGGUUACCCUAGUUUGAUUAUCUUUAUACCUUGUUACCACUGAACUUUUUGGGUAGUACUUGCUAGUGCUUUAUGUGGUUUUGGGUAUGAAGAUACAUUACUCAUGAUCAUACUUUUGUUAUCUGUUGUUAUUUAUCGUUCAUGAUAAGAUCAUUAUAUUAAUUGGAACAUGGAGCGACCACCCGGGAAAACAGUGCUACCACAAGGGUAUAAUGGGACGCCCUUGGCUGAUUAAUUAGGAAAGCUAGUGGAGGACUACCUUACCCGAAAGGGGCAAGGGCAGUAGGGGAGUGGUCAGUGUAGGGAGGCCCUCGGGAGGAUUUUGCUGCGAUGGCGGUCCUGCAAGGGAUUCCUGCAUUGGAGCUUCCUAUAAACUGUAGCGGGUUUUCUGAAACUAGUGGAACUUUGUAAAGGCCUCGUAGUGUUACCCUGCCUCGCCUCCUCGGUAGAGGUGUAUGGGAAGUCGUGAUCCCUUGGCAGAUGGGUAACAUGACUUGUGGGUAAAGAUGCGCAACCUCUGCAGAGUGUAAAACUGGUAUACUAGCCGUGCUCACGGUCAUGAGCAGCUCGGACUCUCACAUGAGUAAUUUAUGGAACUAAAUUCAAUUUGUCAUAUGCAUUGCAUCGCAGGUGAUGUUAUUACUUUUCUUAAUUGGGUUGGUAUUUACUUAUACUUAGUAAUUGCUAAUAAAAUUUUGACCAACUUUAAAAGCAAUGCUCGGCUGUAACCAUCCUCUUUGGUAAGCCUUACACUUCACGUGAGCUCCCACCUUUGGUGAGUUCAUGCACAUUAUUCCCCACAACUUGUUGAGCGAUGAACGUAUGUGAGCUCACUCUUGCUGUCUCACACCCCCCCACAGGUCAAGAACAGGUACCACAUGAUGAGGCGCAUGGAGGAUGCUGUGACGAGUUCGUGAGAGAUCUAGGCCGUCGUCUCCCAGUCAACUUUGGGUUGCUGGACCGUUGUCUCCUUAUAAUGUAAUUAUUUAUUUUGUAUAGAACUCCU
rnacentral:lncRNA from 1 species